GGGUUGUAAACCUCUUUCAGUAGGGAAGAAGCGAGAGUGACGGUACCUGCAGAAGAAGCGCCGGCUAACUACGUGCCAGCAGCCGCGGUAAUACGUAGGGCGCAAGCGUUGUCCGGAAUUAUUGGGCGUAAAGAGCUCGUAGGCGGUUUGUCGCGUCUGCUGUGAAAGCCCGGGGCUCAACCCCGGGUCUGCAGUGGGUACGGGCAGACUAGAGUGCAGUAGGGGAGACUGGAAUUCCUGGUGUAGCGGUGAAAUGCGCAGAUAUCAGGAGGAACACCGAUGGCGAAGGCAGGUCUCUGGGCUGUUACUGACGCUGAGGAGCGAAAGCAUGGGGAGCGAACAGGAUUAGAUACCCUGGUAGUCCAUGCCGUAAACGUUGGGCACUAGGUGUGGGGGACAUUCCACGUUUUCCGCGCCGUAGCUAACGCAUUAAGUGCCCCGCCUGGGGAGUACGGCCGCAAGGCUAAAACUCAAAGGAAUUGACGGGGG
rnacentral:rRNA from 1 species